rnacentral:rRNA from 1 species
AGCAGCCGCGGUAAUUCCAGCUCCAAUAGCGUAUAUUAAAGUUGUUGCAGUUAAAAAGCUCGUAGUUGAAUUUCGGGAUCAGCAGGUCGGUCGUGCCAAUGGUAUGCACUGGCCUUGCUGAUUCCUCCCUCUUGAUGGGCCGUAAUGUCAUUAAUUUGGUGUUGCGGGGAAUCAGGACUGUUACUUUGAAAAAAUUAGAGUGUUUAAAGCAGGCAAGCGCUUGAAUACAUUAGCAUGGAAUAAUGAAAUAGGACGUUUGAUCCUAUUUUGUUGGUUUCUAGGAUUGACGUAAUGAUUAAUAGGGAUAGUUGGGGGCAUUAGUAUUCAAUUGUCAGAGGUGAAAUUCUUGGAUUUAUUGAAGACUAACUACUGCGAAAGCAUUUGCCAAGGAUGUUUUCAUUAAUCAAGAACGAAAGUUAGGGGAUCGAAGACGAUCAGAUACCGUCGUAGUCUUAACCAUAAACUAUGCCGACUAGGAUCGGAUGAUGUUAAUUUUUUAAUGUACU